GCUUUCUCUUUUUCAUAUCUUGAGGUAGGAAUGUCUUGCUGAGGAGAAAAGUGUGGCUGCAACUGUGGUACCGGCUGCGGCGGGUGUGGAAUGUACCCUGACAUAGAGAAGACCACCGCUACAACCACCAUAGCUGGUGUUGCACCACCAGUGACUAUGUACUCAGAGGGGUCUGAGAAGAGCUCUGGAGCUGGAGGAGGCCAUGGUUGCAGCUGUAACCCAUGCAAGUGUAACCCAUGUAAUUGUUAAAAUGACUAAAAUGGGUUCCAAUUCCAAGCCCCAACCAAAGUACCCUUAUAUAUAUAGUUUGAUAUUAAAAUAAAAAUAAAUAAAUAAAUAAAAUUGGGGUUUGGGUUUUUAUGUAUGUGGAUUUUGGGGUUUUAAAUGCGAUAAAAUAAGACAGGCAUGGACGUGGUGUGUUCUUGUGAA